AUGGUGAUUAAUUCCCUAUUGGGAACAAAUCCCAAACAACUGAACAUAGCCCUAGUGGUACAGUACAUCUCUGAAACUGUAACAAGCCUGAAGCUCCUCUCUCUCAAAUUAUUUGAUCACAAAGACAGGGGGAUGGAUCCAUCUCUCCAAUCUGACGAUCCAUCCCCUUCAUCAUCUACCAAAUCCCCCUACAUCCCACGGCCAUGUCUCGAGGUGCCCACAAGUAGGUCAUUGGAUGAGAGGAGAUGGGAACGAGGAAGGAAGAGGGUUACCUCGGAGGUUAGUCUCGCCGUCGUACACGGUGAAGGAGAAGAUGGGUGGCCGAAGGAGUAG
rnacentral:rRNA from 1 species